rnacentral:rRNA from 1 species
CCUACGGGUCGCAGCAGUGGGGAAUAUUGGGGCAUGGGCGCAAGCCUGACCCAGCAAUGCCGCGUGAAGGCAGAAGGCUUUCGGGUGGUAAACUUCUUUGACAGGGGAAGAGCAGAAGACGGUACCCUGAAAACAAGCCACGGCUAACUACGUGCCAGCAGCCGCUGUAAUACGUAGGUGGCAAGCGUUGUCCGGAUUUACUGGGUGUAAAGGGCGUGUAGCCGGGAAGGCAAGUCAGAUGUGAAAUCUGGAGGCUCAACCUCCAAAUUGCAUUUGAAACUGUUUUUCUUGAGUACUGGAGAGGCAGACGGAAUUCCUUGUGUAGCGGUGAAAUGCGUAGAUAUAAGGAGGAACACCAGUGGCGAAGGCGGUCUGCUGGACAGCAACUGACGGUGAGGCGCGAAAGCGUGGGGAGCAAACAGGAUUAGAUACCCCGGUAGUC